GAUGAACGCUGGCGGCGUGCCUAAUACAUGCAAGUCGAGCGAACAGACGAGGAGCUUGCUCCUCUGACGUUAGCGGCGGACGGGGGAGUAACACGUGGAUAACCUACCUAUAAGACUGGGAUAACUUCGGGAAACCGGAGCUAAUACCGGAUAAUAUAUUGAACCGCAUGGUUCAAUAGUGAAAGACGGUUUUGCUGUCACUUAUAGAUGGAUCCGCGCCGCAUUAGCUAGUUGGUAAGGUAACGGCUUACCAAGGCGACGAUGCGUAGCCGACCUGAGAGGGUGAUCGGCCACACUGGAACUGAGACACGAUCCAGACUCCUACGGGAGGCAGCAGUAGGGAAUCUUCCGCAAUGGGCGAAAGCCUGACGGAGCAACGCCGCGUGAGUGAUGAAGUUCUUCGGCUCGUAAAACUCUGUUAUUAGGGAAGAACAAAUGUGUAAGUAACUAUGCACGUCUUGACGGUACCUAAUCAGAAAGCCACGGCUAACUACGUG
rnacentral:rRNA from 1 species